GUUAGGGCGUGUAGUGGAUGCCUUGGCACUGACGAAUGAUGAAGGACGCAGAAUGCCGCGAUAGGCCGCGGGGAGCCGCAUUCAGGCUUCGAUCCGUGGAUUUCCGAAUGGGGGAACCCGGCAGGGUAAUACCUGUCAUCCUUCGGGCGUAAGCCCGUCGGAGAGCAACCUGGGGAACUGAAACAUCCAAGUACCCAGAGGAAAAGAAAGAGAAUUCGAUUCCGUUAGUAGUGGCGAGCGAAAGCGGAAAAGCCCAAACCGGAGCAAUCCGGGGUUAGGGAUGUCAUUUAGGAUUUUGGUUUCAGGGAAAUGGUCUGGAAUGGCCAGCUAUAGAAGGUGAAAGCCCCGUACCCAUAAAAACCGAGAUCUGAGACAUUUCCAGAGUAACACGGGACACGUGAAACCCCGUGCGAAUGUGGGGAGACCACUCCCUAAGGCUAAAUACCAGUCAGUGACCGAUAGUGAACAAGUACCAUGAGGGAAAGGUGAAAAGAACCCCGGGAGGGGUAUGAAAUAGAUCCUAAAACCGCAUGCCCGCAAGCGGACCGAGGGCGUCAAUGCCUAAGGUCGUGCCUAUUGAAGAAUGAGCCUGCGAGUUAUGUAUGCAUGCAAGGUUAAACCGAAGAGGCGGAGCCGCAGCGAAAGCAAGUCUUAAUAGGGCGUUUAGUAUGCAUACGUAGACCCGAAACCCGGCGAGCUUGCCAUGAGCAGGAUGAAAGAGGGGCAACACCCUCCGGAGGUCCGAACCGACGUUCGUUGAAAAGACCGCGGAUGACUUGUGGCACGUAGUGAAAUUCCAAUCGAGCUGGGUUAUAGCUGGUUCUCCCCGAAAUAGCUCAUCGGCUAGCCUCGGGACAGAUGCAUGGAGGUAGAGCUACCGUAGAGGAAGGAGUCGCAAAAGCGACGUCGUUUCUCAAUGAACUCCGAAUGCCAUGUUAUCGAUUCCCGGGAGUCAGAGCGUGGGAGAUAAGUUCCAUACUCAAAAGGGCAACAGCCCAGACCGCCAUUUAAAGGCCCCAAAGUGCGUGCUAAGUGUUAUUAAGGAUGUAGAAAGACUUAAACAGCCGGGAUGUUGGCUCAGAGGCAGCCAUCAUUCAAAGAAUGCGUAACAGCUCACCGGUCAAGUCCUUCCGCGCCGAAAAUUUACCGGGACUCAAGCACGUCGCCGAAAUUGCGGAUUUAUGUCGUAAGACAUGAGUGGUAGGGGAGCGUUCCAUAUGCAUUGAAUCCGGACCAUAAGGGCCGGUGGAGCGUAUGGAAGUGAUUCUGCAGGUGUGAGUAGCGAUGUGGAGUGAGAAUCUCCACCGCCGUAUGGCCAAGGUUUCCAGGGCAAGGUUCGUCCUCCCUGGGAUAGUCGGGUCCUAAGUCGAGGCCGAAAGGCGCAGACGAUGGAAACGCGGUUGAUAUUCCGCGACCCGUUCAUUCAGUGAUGCGAUGACGGGACUGGGAAGCGUAUCCGGGCGAUCGGAAAUGCCCGGCUUCAGGUGCACAGGGGCGUGGGUGGCAAGUCCAUCCACAUUACUCCAGGACCUGCGGGGAAGAAAGUCCUUCGGGAUGAGUAUGAAGUACGUAGAGCAGUCUCCAAGAAAAGUCGCUAGCGUUAUAAAGAUGAAUGGCCCGUACCUAGAACGGACACACGUGGCCGAGGCGAGUAGCCUCAGGCGAGCGAGCCAACUGUUGUUAAGGAACUCUGCAAAAUUGCACCGUAAGUUAGCGAUAAGGUGCACCCAACGCAAGUUGGGUCGCAGUGAAGAGGCCGAGGUAACUGUUUACCAAAAACACAGCUCUAUGCCAAGCCGCAAGGCGAUGUAUAUGGGGUGAUGCCUGCCCGGUGCUGGAAGGUUAAGGGGAGGAGUUAGCCGCAAGGCGAAGCUCUGAGCCGAAGCCCCAGUGAACGGCGGCCGUAACUAUAACGGUCCUAAGGUAGCGAAAUUCCUUGUCGGGCAAGUUCCGACGCGCAUGAAUGGUAUAAUAAUCCCGGCGCUGUCUCAACAGCAGGCUCGGCGAAAUCGAAAUGCCAGUGAAGAUGCUGGCUACCCGCGACUAGACGGAAAGACCCCAUAGAGCUUUACUGUAGGUUGGCAUUGAGAUGCCGAAUUGCAUGCACAGGAUAGUCGGGACGCUUUGAUGGUGUGACUUUGGUUACACCGGAGCGGUCGUUGGAAUACCGGCCUUGCCGUUCGUCGUCUCUAACCCGUCCCCUUGAGGGGGAUAGGGACAGUGCCUGUUGGGCAGUUUGACUGGGGCGGUCGCCUCCCAAAAAGUAACGGAGGCGCUCGAAGGUAUCCUGAGUGUGGUAGGAAACCACACCGACAGCGCAAACGCAUAAGGAUGCCUGACUGCGAGAUUUACGGAUCGAGCAGACGCGAAAGCGGGAGUUAGUGACCCGGCGGUUCCAGUGUGGAAUGGCCGUCGCUUAGCGGACAAAAGCUACCUUGGGGAUAACAGGCUGAUCCAGUCCAAGAGUUCACUUCGACGACUGGGUUUGGCACCUCGAUGUCGGCUCAUCGCAUCCUGGAGGGGCAACACCUUCCAAGGGUCUGGCUGUUCGCCAGUUAAAGCGGUACGCGAGCUGGGUUCAAAACGUCGUGAGACAGUUUGGUCCCUAUCUGUCGUGGGCGCAGGAGGACGUGAGGGAAUUCCCCCUCAGUACGCAAGGACCAGGGGGAACAUAGCUACGGUACACCGGUCAGGACGCCAGUCCUGCCGCCGGGCAGCCGCCUAUGGAACGGAUAAGCGCUGAAAGCAUCUAAGCACGAAGCCGAUCCCGGGAUUAAUCCUCCAGGUGAUCUUCGGAUCACCUAAGGGCCGCAGUAAGUAACUGCGUUGAUAGGCAUUAGGCGUAAGCGGGGCAACCCGUUGAGCCGUGAUGUACUAAUAGCCCGAAGUCUUCUUA
rnacentral:rRNA from 1 species